rnacentral:rRNA from 1 species
GAUGAACGCUGGCGGCGUGCCUAAUACAUGCAAGUCGAACGCUGAGACGAGGAGCUUGCUCCUCUUGGGUGAGUGGCGGACGGGUGAGUAACACGUGGGUAACCUGCCUUUGAGAGGGGGAUAACUUUGGGAAACGGUAGCUAAUACCGGAUAACAUGUGGUGACGCAUGGCAUUUAAGUGAAAGGGGGGCAUGCUGUCCCAUAAAGAGGGACCGGGUUGGAUUUGGUAGGAGGGGAGGUAAAGGGUCACCUAAGGGACGAUACAGUGCCGACCUGAGAGGGUGAUCGGCCACACUGGGACUGAGACAUGGCCCAGACUCCUACGGGAGGCAGCAGUAGGGAAUCUUCGGCAAUGGGGGCAAACCUGACCGAGCAACGCCGCGUGGGUGAAGAAGGGUUUCGGAUCGUAAAGCUCUGUUGUAAGUCAAGAACGAGUGUGAGAGUGGAAAGUUCACACUGUGACGGUAGCUUACCAGAAAGGGACGGCUAACUACGUG